rnacentral:rRNA from 1 species
AUUGAACGCUGGCGGCAUGCCUUACACAUGCAAGUCGAACGGCAGCACGGGAGCAAUCCUGGUGGCGAGUGGCGAACGGGUGAGUAAAGUAUCGGAACGUGCCCAGUCGGGGGGGAUAACGUAGCGAAAGUUACGCUAAUACCGCAUACGAUCUAUGGAUGAAAGCGGGGGAUCGCAAGACCUCGCGCGAUGAGAGCGGCCGAUAUCAGAUUAGGUAGUUGGUGGGGUAAAGGCUCACCAAGCCGACGAUCUGUAGCUGGUCUGAGAGGACGACCAGCCACACUGGGACUGAGACACGGCCCAGACUCCUACGGGAGGCAGCAGUGGGGAAUUUUGGACAAUGGGCGAAAGCCUGAUCCAGCCAUGCCGCGUGCAGGAUGAAGGCCUUCGGGUUGUAAACUGCUUUUGUACGGAACGAAAAGGUUUGGCCUAAUAAGCUGAGCUCAUGACGGUACCGUAAGAAUAAGCACCGGCUAACUACGUGCCAGCCGCCGCGGUAA